rnacentral:lncRNA from 10 species
ACCUGCGCGAGUUGGGGGAAGGAGGAGGGGCGAGGUGACGCAGGCGUAAUAAUAGAGAAGGUGCCAGAAAGAUCCAAAACAAGUGGCUGCGGCCGUCGCCCAGGAGUCAUCGGACGCCAGAAUCUGUGUCUCCAGAACGCUAUAGCUAUGGCACCUCCAGCUCUUCAAAGAGGACAGAGGGUAGCUGCCGUCGCCGUCGGCAGUCAAGCAGUUCUGCAAAUUCUCAGCAGGGUCAGUGGGAGACAGGCUCCCCCCCAACCAAGCGGCAGCGGCGGAGUCGGGGCCGGCCCAGUGGUGGUGCCAGACGGCGGCGGAGAGGGGCCCCAGCCGCACCCCAGCAGCAGUCAGAGCCCGCCAGACCUUCCUCUGAAGGCAAAGUGACCUGUGAUGGGGAAACAGGCUCAGAGAGGUAAGGUCACAUGCCCAAGGCCCCACAGCUUAGAGAGUGGCAGAGCUGGGACUCACCUCAAGGUCUGUUGGACUCCGCCACCUGGCCCUGCCUCUGUGGCCAACCACUCCUGGGUGGCCUGGAAGAGGUGCUGCUCCUCCCAGCCCC